CCCCAUAGCUGUGGUUGUAUCUGACCCUUUGCCUCCAGCCCUCCAGCCAGUGCCGGGAAAAGCCUGGAUUAGUAGCAGAGAGAAUUGGGUAACUUAAUCUUCUCUCUAGGUGGGUCUCUUUGGGUCCCCCCCUCUCUCUCAAUCCAUGUAUUUCUCUCUCUCUGGGUGUCUGUCUCUAUUUCCAUGCUAUUUUUAUGAUGUGGAUGGAUAUUCUGAGCACCAGACUCUAUAGGGAACAGAUAUUCCCAUCGGAUUCCAUUUCAAACUCUAUGUUUAGGAGAAGAAACUGUGCUAGGGUAACAUGUGUAAAGACAGAAUAGUCAUGUGUGCUGCUGGAAAAAGAAGGCACACUACAUACAUCAAUAGUAUCAAACAUUCACAUCUAUAGGUUUUAAACUUCAUUUAUACUUUCUUUAUGAGCUUUCUUGCAAUGUCCCUCCCUGCAGAACGGAAUACUAGACUAAGAAAACUUCUAGCAAUACAUUUUAAUUAAUUUAAGCUUUUUUUAUGUGUUGACCUGGUUUGUAGUGAAAGAAGCAGUGUGUGUUUGUGUGUGUGUUUGUACUCUAACCAUCUGUCUGGCAGGAUUAGGAGGGGAAGUGGAGAGGAUGUGCCUGGCAUUGUUUUGGCAUUGUGUCUAUAUUAUGUUAGUAUUGUAUCAAAUAGGUUGGUAUUGGGUGUGUAUUGUGUUAGUAUUGUAUCAAAUAGGUUGGUAUUGGGUGUGUAUUGUGUUAGUAUUGUAUCAAGUAGGCUGGUAUUGGGUGUGUAUUGUGUUAGUAUUGUAUCAAAUAGGUUGGUAUUGGGUGUGUAUUGUGUUAGUAUUGUAUCAAAUAGGUUGGUAUUGGGUGUGUAUUGUGUGGGCUCUAUGUGUGUUAACUGUGUUCGCAUGAAAGACAACAGAAGUCAUCAUCUCUGAUUAGUAGUUCAUCUGGAGAUGCGUGCCUGCAUGAGUUUCUCUCUGGCCCUGAGUCACUCUGCUGGUGAAAAGACUUCAGUCCAGCUGUUGUUUUUGUGGUGAUUAUAGUGAGAGUUAAACCAGUGAAGUCACACUGUUGUUUAAGAGACAAUAAGCUGUAGUUGUAGGGAGAGUAGGUGGGCAGCAGGUGAGCUGAUGUCACCACCUAGCCAGAAGUCAGAGCAUCAUGUGGGCACACUCCAACCUGCCUCACAACACCACAAGACAUACUGAUGUACCCUAAUAGAUCAAAUUGAUUUGUAAAGCUUAGAAAACAAGCAGUGAACACACUACAAUGCCAUUUUAAACUGUCAAAAUGGAUAAAUCAUGGUUUAUCCCUAUGCCUUUGGCAAGGUGCUUAGUUGCGGUUCAAAUGUGUGUGUCUGUCCUCAGCAAGGUGUUUAGCUGUCUAACCAUUUCCAGAGGAGCAGGCCCUUUAACCACAGUGAAUAGUCUCGGUAAUGUCCCCUACUGUAAAUACUAAUGUCUGGAUGGAACAAGCUGGAUUCUUGGAGCAGAGAGAAAGAAUACUGGUACACAGGAGAGAGGAGAAGCAGGGUAAAGAGAAGGGUUAGGGAGGGUAAAGAGAGGGGUUAGGGAGGGUAAGAGAAGGGUUAGGGAGGGUAAGAGAGGGGUUAGGGAGGGUAAAGAGAGGGGUUAGGGAGGGUAAAGAGAGGGGUUAGGGAGGGUAAAAAGAGGGGUUAGGGAGGGUAAAGAGAGGGGUUAGGGAGGGUAAAGAGAAGGGUUAGGGAGGGUAAAGAGAGGGGUUAGGGAGGGUAAAGAGAAGGGUUAGGGAGGGUAAAGAGAAGGGUUAGGGAGGGUAAGAGGGGUUAGGGAGGGUAAGAGAAGGGUUAGGGAGGGUAGAGAAGAGGGGUUAGGGAGGGUAAAACGGGUUAGGGAGGGUAGAGAGAGGGGUUAGGGAGGGUAGAGAGAGGGGUUAGGGAGGGUAGAGAGACUGGUUAGGAGGGG
ensembl:lncRNA